UCCAGGGUAGCCUAGUGGACAUGGCAUCUGCCCGGUAAGCGGAAGGUUGUGGGUUCGAUUCCCGCCCCUGGAC